GAUGAACGCUGGCGGCGUGCCUAAUACAUGCAAGUCGAGCGAACGGACGAGAAGCUUGCUUCUCUGAUGUUAGCGGCGGACGGGUGAGUAACACGUGGAUAACCUACCUAUAAGACUGGGAUAACUUCGGGAAACCGGAGCUAAUACCGGAUAAUAUUUUGAACCGCAUGGUUCAAAAGUGAAAGACGGUCUUGCUGUCACUUAUAGAUGGAUCCGCGCUGCAUUAGCUAGUUGGUAAGGUAACGGCUUACCAAGGCAACGAUGCAUAGCCGACCUGAGAGGGUGAUCGGCCACACUGGAACGGGAACACGGUCCAGACUCCUACGGGAGGCAGCAGUAGGGAAUCGUCCGCAAUGGGCGAAAGCCUGACGGAGCAACGCCGCGUGAGUGAUGAAGGUCUUCGGAUCGUAAAACUCUGUUAUUAGUGAAGAACAUAUGUGUAAGGAACUGUGCACAUCUUGACGGUACCUAAUCAGAAAGCCACGGCUAACUACGUG
rnacentral:rRNA from 1 species